AUGAAAACUGUAUUUUGGGACACCCAAAAUGAAAAUGGGAACUAUAUUUUAGGACGGAGAGAGUAUUAGAAUUAUACCGUCUCUUUUAAUAAUUUUUGCUCCCCCAUUGCUUUCCUCUCACUCAUCGUUCAAUCACUCCUUUCUAUCUCCUCCUCGUUGCUUCACCCUCCUCUCACUCCUUCACCCGUCUCUCACUACUUCAGAUCUCCUUCAUCACUCGAGUCUACUCCUUCAUCGUUGCCAUCCUCCUCAAGUUUUCUUUCUCCUCCUCAAGUUUUCUUUCUCCUCCUCAAGUUUUCUCUCUCCUCUUCGAGUCAACUCCUUCGUUGUUGCUCUCCUCCUCAAGUUUUCUCUCUCCUACUCAAGUUUUCUCUCUCCUCUUCGAGUCUACUCCUUCGUCGCUGCUCUCCGUCAAACAGCACCGCUGCACCGACUCGACUCCACAACACCCCUGCACAGCUCGACUCCACCACAGCACCUCUGCACCGCUCGACUCCACCACAACACCGCUCGCCACACCUUCAACCUUCAACGGUUUUCGUGCGCGUUCAACCAGUGCUAACACCUUUAGCCUCGCCUUCAACCUUCGCUAACUUCAUAAUCGCCUCUCCCAAGCGUCGGUUCUUUAUAUGAGGUAACCUUCAAAACCAACGUAUUUGGCGAAUCUGGUGGUUGUGAUAUUGUUAUUGGUGGUGCUCUUAAGUCAUAUGGAAGUUUCAGCGAUGUUUUGUGAUUUUGAGUCUUCAUUUUUUCCUUUUUUUCUUUCUAGUUAGAUUUUUUUUUUAUUUAUUAGAUCUAAUAGCUAAGGUGGUGAUAUUAUUAUUUUUGUUUGUUAAGAAUCAAUCAGGGUUUCUGAUAUUUUUGUUAUCGUUUUUCAUAUUUAACUUUUGUUUUUUUUGAAUAUAUGUUGCUUUUGUA